rnacentral:rRNA from 1 species
UUUGGUGAGGAAUAACACGAGGAAACUUGUGCUAAUACCUCAUAAGUCUUUACGGAGAAAGCUUUAUGCGCCAUUGGAUGAGCCCGCACUUGAUUAGUUUGUUGGUGGGGUAAUGGCCUACCAAGACUUUGAUCAAUAGCUGAUUUGAGAGGAUGAUCAGCCACAUUGGGACUGAGACACGGCCCAAACUCCUACGGGAGGCAGCAGUAGGGAAUCUUGCACAAUGGAGGAAACUCUGAUGCAGCGAUGCCGCGUGAGUGAAGAAGGCCCUUGGGUUGUAAAGCUCUUUCGUCGGGGAAGAAAAUGACUGU